rnacentral:rRNA from 1 species
GACGAACGCUGGCGGCGUGCCUAAUACAUGCAAGUCGAACGAGAAAUUCUUACACCGGAUGCUUGCAUCCACCGUAAGAUUUCGAGUGGCGGACGGGUGAGUAACACGUGGGUAACCUGCCCAAAAGAAGGGGAUAACAUUUGGAAACAAGUGCUAAUACCGUAUAACCAUGAUGACCGCAUGAUCAUGAUGUAAAAGGUGGUUUUGCUAUCGCUUUUGGAUGGACCCGCGGCGUAUUAACUAGUUGGUAAGGUAACGGCUUACCAAGGUGAUGAUACGUAGCCGAACUGAGAGGUUGAUCGGCCACAAUGGGACUGAGACACGGCCCAUACUCCUACGGGAGGCAGCAGUAGGGAAUCUUCCACAAUGGGCGCAAGCCUGAUGGAGCAACGCCGCGUGAAUGAAGAAGGUCUUCGGGUUGUAAACUCCUUUCGCCAUUGACGAAGCCCUUUGGGGUGACGGUAGGUGGAGAAGAAGCACCGGCUAACUACGUGCCAGCCGCCGCCGUAACAC